rnacentral:rRNA from 1 species
AUGCACUUUUCUGCUGCGAUGUGGUCGACCACGCAACCCCUAGCAAUCAUGUCUGCUGAAGCUAAGGAUAAGCCGGAAGACGGUGGGGGCGAAAAUGGGGCUCCCCUUGCGGACGCCGCCCGCCCGAAGCCGUCUGAUGGUGGAACCGAGGUUGCAGCCAUGGAAAGCUAUGAUGCGCAUGUCACGGCGACGACGGCGGGAGGCUCUCAGGCGCCAAAAUCACAUGGGGAUUCUGACCUGUACAUGUCUGACGCAGAUUCAGUUUUGGGCAAAAGAUACACAAGGCAGCAAGAGGAAGAGUUAGAAGCAGAGGUGCGGGCCAAAGCUCUGAUUGUGUAUAAGGAGCAACUGGAUGGAAACGCUCAGAAAAAAGGAAAACAUGAUGAAGUUGAAGUGGUGGCAGAAGGUGUUCCAAUGGAAGGCUUGGAGGAUUUGGAGGGGCCAUGGGGCCGCUGGUAA